CUAACUUUCGUUCUUGAUUAAUGAAAACAUCCUUGGUAAAUGCUUUCGCAGUAGUUUGUCUUCCAUAAAUCCAAGAAUUUCACCUCUGACAAUUGAAUACAAAUACCCCCAACUAUCCCUAUUAAUCAUUACCUUGGAGUACAAACCAACAAAAUAAGACCAAGGUCUUAUCUUAUUAUUCCAUGCUAAUGUAUUCAACGGCAUAAGCCUGCUUUGAACACCCUAUUUUGCUCACAGUAAAUGACGAGGAUCCCAUACCCAUUAACUUAAUGACAGAUAUGUUUUCCUCGAGGAUGGUCUCAGACCCUGGUACAUACCUCGUUUGAGGCAGACCGAAAUCCAAGACCAGAAAUUCAACUACGAGCUUUUU
rnacentral:rRNA from 1 species